rnacentral:lncRNA from 1 species
AUCUCCCAAAUGCAUGUGAUAAAUGAGGCUAGAGAUAUAGUCAAGAAAGAGAAGGCUCUGAAGGGCUUGGUUCGAUGUGUAAAGUACAAGCUUUGUGUAUAUGCAUGCAUUACAUUCUGGUGUGACCAAUGCAAAUAGGGAGUUGGGCUUGUGUAGUCGAGUGUGAUAUCUAGUGGGAAAGAAAUUAAAGAAAACAUAUAUAAAAGAGGUGUAAUGAUGAGAAUGAAAUUUGGAAAUAUAAUUAGGUAAGUUCAGUGGUUGUGUUGAAUGAUCUUAGUGAUAUGUAUGUCUUGUUAUAAUGUUCUAACUUGCUAGAAAAAUUGUUGCAUAUAUCUAAAUUCUAGAAUUGAUGAAACAUAAUAGUACAGGUAAAUGAGUAU